rnacentral:rRNA from 1 species
AACGAACGCUGGCGGCGUGGAUUAGGCAUGCAAGUCGAACGAGAAAGGUUUCUUCGGAAACCGAGUAGAGUGGCAAACGGGUGAGUAACGCGUGGGGAAUCUACCCUUUGGUUGGGGAUAACACUUCUAACGAGGUGCUAAUACCGAAUAAGAUCGGAUUAUCGCAUGAUAGACCGAUGAAAGGCGGCCUCUGUUUUAAGCUGUCACCGAAGGAUGAUCCCGCGUCCCAUUAGCUUGUUGGUGAGGUAACGGCUCACCAAGGCGACGAUGGGUAGCCGGCCUUAGCGGGUGAUCGGCCACACUGGGACUGAGAUACGGCCCAGACUCCUACGGGUGGCAG